rnacentral:rRNA from 1 species
CAAUAGCGUAUAUUAAAGUUGUUGCAGUUAAAAAGCUCGUAGUUGGAUUUGUGGCGUACGGUGUGUUCCGGGCACUUGUUGUCUGAGUAACCUGCUGUUGCCAUCCUUGGGUGGAACCUGUGUGGCAUUAGGUUGUCGUGCAGGGGAUGCCCAUCAUUUACUGUGAAAAAAUUAGAGUGUUCAAAGCAGGCUUAUGCCGUUGAAUAUAUUAGCAUGGAAUAAUGAGAUAGGACUUUUUUGCUAUUUUGUUGGUUUGCGCAAAGAGGUAAUGAUUAAUAGGGACUGUUGGGGGUAUUCGUAUUCCAUUGUCAGAGGUGAAAUUCUUGGAUUUUUGGAAGACGAACUACUGCGAAAGCAUUUACCAAGGAUGUUUUCAUUAA